rnacentral:rRNA from 1 species
AAAUAUUUUAGUACGAAAGGAUCAAAUAUUUAAAAUAAUUUUAAUUAAAGAAUUUUAUUAAUAGAUUUAUAA